rnacentral:lncRNA from 1 species
AUAUUAUGGAGGCCUAAGGAAAAAAGUGCAGCCUGACUCGGUGACAAAAGUGUGACAGGACAAGGCUGCCUGCUGAUAUUUAAAGCUCAGAGGUGGAGAGGAGGGCUUCUUCCAGACUGAGCAAGAAGCUGUAAAUAGAAAAAUGGCACACAUUUAAAGAGGUGCUGCAUUUGACAACUCUCAGCCUCUGUAAGAUGUGUGUUGUUUUUUUAAGGCAAUCUGUUCCUACCCUUAAUUAGGUAAGUGGCAUAUCCUAUUCUACAUUGGUUAUUCAUAUCUGAUACACAUAUUUAAAUUUAGCAGUAUGUCAAGUAGGGGCUAGACACCUGUAAUAAGAGACAGUAGAGAAAUAUAAAGUGAACCAAAGCUUCAGACUCUUACAUCUGCUUCUAACAGGCUGUCCUGCAAAACAGAGGCGUCCUAGAUUGUGCUGCUGAACAGUUUAAAGAAUCAGUGCAAGCUUCUUGCUUAAUUCUGUUUAGCUGAAGCCAUGGACACAUGUCCUCCCACAACCACAGAUGUGUUUGCUAAUGAAGCACUGUAAGCUC